UACUCUAAUUGUAGAGGUGUUUGUUGCUCUGUUUUGAAGGUAGCUUCCUCAAGCUAUUGUUGCUGGCUUUUGAAAGAAGAAGUGCUUCCUUGGUACAUAUGCUUCCCAUUGAUGUAACUCAUGUAGAAUUGCAUUGCUCGCCUUCAGCUUCCCCCUUCCUUGACUUCACAACACAACUUUGUUCAUCUCAAAGGGUAAGUAAGCACUCUGCAAAAUGAAAACAAAAUCUUUAAUGAAAGAAGAGUAGAUUUAAAUGCAUAUAUAAAAAUAGAUCACUCUUAAGAUGCUGAAAAAGAGAUGCACAAAAACAAAGAAAGUAGAAACAAACUUAGCUUUUAAAAAUCUACAAUUUUAAAAGACUUUAGUAAGCAUCUUUUAAGCUUACUAGAAUCUGAAAACUUUCAACUAUUAACUAGACUUAGCUAAGUAAAAAUUAUUAUCAAAGUCUAACUUUUAAAGUAAAAAGAUCUGCAAACACAAUUGGUAAAUGGAUUAGAUUGGCAAAAGGGAAUAAUUAAUUUAAAAACAAGUCACAUACCUAUUACAAGAAGCAUCGUUCAAACAUAAACCAUGAAAUCUGAUACCUCUUUCCCUUGCAAAAACAACAAGGCAAUUCUUGUUUCCAAAAUCAAACCCAACUACACUCAUUAUCACGCUUUAGUGUUCUUCCCCAUGUAACUGAUAGCAACCUUACAAAUCGAUGGAAAAACAAAAAUUUAUGAGAUUUAACAACUAUGAAAUAGCAACUAAAAGAAACAAAAAAUCAGAGUAGUCUUCAGCUCAAACCAGAAGCUUAGAUUCCAAUCACCAGUAAUGUAGACCAAACCUACAAAGAAUCUCAAAAUCAGAUCAAACCUACAAAGAAAAUACCUACAACUUUUCCUUCGGCGUGUUUUUGGUAGGAAUUUUUCCUACCAAAAUCUUAUCAUAUCCGAUUUCCUACGGGCGAUUUCCUACCAUUUUAGUGGUAGGAUUAUCGUAAAAAUUUGUUCUUUCCUACCACUUUUUCACGUUACUGGUUGUAGGAAAUCGAUGUUUUUCUUGUAGUGCUAUAAAAAAUCAUAUGUACGAAAAAGAGAAGCUACAGAUCUAGAAUAUCAACAACAAGAGCUUCAAAAUCAAACCUGGAUCGUUAGAGGGGUUCGCGUUCUGGAUCUUCAAUUCACAACAGAGGAUACUAGACCAUGGGUGGUAGGUGGAAGCGGAGAUUGGUGACAGAGGCGAGAUAGAGCUAAGGAGCGCCUAAGGUUUGUCGAGAGAAGAAGAAAAGAGAGAGAGAGAGAGAGAUUAGGCGAUUAGAAUUUAUAGACUUGAAGUAGAAAAGAGAUUAGGGAUCAAAAUAAAA
rnacentral:lncRNA from 1 species